GUGUCAGCCGCCGCGGUAAUACGAAGGGUGCAAGCGUUAAUCGGAAUUACUGGGCGUAAAGCGCGCGUAGGUGGUUCGUUAAGUUGGAUGUGAAAGCCCCGGGCUCAACCUGGGAACUGCAUCCAAAACUGGCGAGCUAGAGUAUGGCAGAGGGUGGUGGAAUUUCCUGUGUAGCGGUGAAAUGCGUAGAUAUAGGAAGGAACACCAGUGGCGAAGGCGACCACCUGGGCUAAUACUGACACUGAGGUGCGAAAGCGUGGGGAGCAAACAGGAUUAGAAAC
rnacentral:rRNA from 1 species